AGCGAACGCUGGCGGCAGGCCUAACACAUGCAAGUCGAACGAACCUUUCGGGGUUAGUGGCGGACGGGUGAGUAACACGUGGGAACGUGCCUUUAGGUUCGGAAUAACUCAGGGAAACUUGUGCUAAUACCGAAUGUGCCCUUCGGGGGAAAGAUUUAUCGCCUUUAGAGCGGCCCGCGUCUGAUUAGCUAGUUGGUUGAGGUAAUGGCUCACCAAGGCGACGAUCAGUAGCUGGUCUGAGAGGAUGAUCAGCCACAUUGGGACUGAGACACGGUCCAAACUCCUACGGGAGGCAGCAGUGGGGAAUCUUGCGCAAUGGGCGAAAGCCUGACGCAGCCAUGCCGCGUGAAUGAUGAAGGUCUUAGGAUUGUAAAAUUCUUUCACCGGGGACGAUAAUGACGGUACCCGGAGAAGAAGCCCCGGCUAACUUCGUG
rnacentral:rRNA from 1 species